CAGACAACAGGCCCAAAGCCUUAUUAUUC
rnacentral:tRNA from 1 species